rnacentral:rRNA from 1 species
AUUGACAUGUAUGGAACCCUGCUGAGAGGUGGGGGUGCCCGAAAGGGAGCCAUAACACAGGUGCUGCAUGGCUGUCGUCAGCUCGUGUCGUGAGAUGUUGGGUUAAGUCCCGCAACGAGCGCAACCCUUGUCCCUAGUUGCUACGCAAGAGCACUCCAGGGAGACUGCCGGUGACAAACCGGAGGAAGGUGGGGAUGACGUCAAGUCCUCAUGGCCCUUAUGGGUAG